rnacentral:rRNA from 1 species
AGCAGCCGCGGUAAUUCCAGCUCCAAUAGCGUAUAUUAAAGUUGCUGCAGUUAAAAGCUCGUAGUUGAAUUUCGGGAUCAAUAUGUCGGUCGUGCCUCGGUACGUACUGGCUUAUUGGUUUUUCCUUUCUGAAGAACCAUGAUGUCAUUUAUUUGGUGUCGUGGGAAAUCAGGACUGUUACUUUGAAAAAAUUAGAGUGUUUAAAGCAGGCUCACGCUUGAAUACAUUAGCAUGAAAUAAUGAAAUAGGACGUUUGAUUCUAUUUUGUUGGUUUCUAGGAUCGACGUAAUGAUUAAUAGGGAUAGUUGGGGGCAUUAGUAUUCAAUUGUCAGAGGUGAAAUUCUUGGAUUUAUUGAAGACUAACUACUGCGAAAGCAUUUGCCAAGGAUGUUUUCAUUAAUCAAGAACGAAAGUUAGGGGAUCGAAGACGAUCAGAUACCGUCGUAGUCUUAACCAUAAACUAUGCCGACUAGGGAUCGGAUGAUGUUAAUUUUUUAAUGACUCAUUCGGCGCCUUACG